GACGAACGUUGGCGGCGUGCCUAAUACAUGCAAGUCAACUGAAAUACCGGUAGCAAUACUGGUAUGGAGGUGGCGCACGGGUGAGUAACACGUAGGUAAUCUGCCUUCAGGUCUGACAUAACCCAUCGAAAGGUGAGCUAAUAUCAGAUGAUGCAGCGGCUUGACAUCAAGACAGUUGUUAAAGCUUCGGCGCCUGAAGAUGAGCCNGCGUCUGAUUAGCUAGUUGGCGGGGUAACGGCCCACCAAGGCUGCGAUCAGUAGCUGGUCUGAGAGGGUGAUCAGUCACACUGGAACUAAGACACGGUCCAGACUCCUACGGGAGCAGCAGUAAGGAAUAUUGCUCAAUGGCCGAAAGGCUGAAGCAGCAACGCCGCGUGAGGGAUGAAGGG
rnacentral:rRNA from 1 species